GCGUCAGCCAGUGGUGCAACGGUUCAGCACGCGCCCCCGAGAGAGUGAGAUCUGGGUACGAAUCCCGGUUGACGCA